CUUAAGCCGCCUCUGCAGAGACUUAGCAGUGCUGACAGCCCCCUGGGCAACAAGGCUGGGGGGCUGUCAUGUUUGUCCUGCAACAGGAUUGUCGCAGGACCGACCUAAAAUCGCAGAAAGAAGCAACUUACCAGCUCCUCUGUCUUCCUUCUUCUCUCUGCUUCUCUGGCGACGCCCACGCACUUCCUGGCUGCAGUGACUCAUCAGCAUACACGCUGCUGAAACUUUCUAGAGCAUCAGACAAUCCCUCCUGCUCCAGCAACGUGACUCAUCAGCAUACACGCUGCUGAAACUUUCUAGAGCAUCAGACAAUCCCUCCUGCUCCAGCAACGAUUUCAAAUUGGCACGGAGGUCCAUGGAAACCUUGUGCUUUGAACCCAAAAGUGCACGAAGCAUGGCAUCUGCAGAUACUCGUACUCUGCGCAGAGCAGGCCUCUUAAACUUCCCACGAAGAUCCAGCACCUUCAUCCUCAGAUCUUGAAUCUUAGUAAAGGAAAUAAAUAUGAAUUUGAUGACUUCAGCAAUCUAUGCAAAAGAGAGUAGUUAUAUAUAUAUAUAUAUAAAAGAUACACAUGCUGGUUACCCCAGAUUUCUGCUGUCAUACAUUAUUACCAAAAUGAUGGAGUUAAUGGCACAGCAGGCAAAAAAAUGAGAAAAACAAGUUUAGGCUUACUGCAUGAAUCCAAUGUAUACAGGUGAUAAGAUUACUUAGCCCGACAGCAGGGAAUAUAAUGGCUUUUAACUAAGUAAUUGGUUAUUACUUAUCACUUCUAAUUUAUUAUUGUGCUGUAUGCUUGUAUUAAUGUUUGCAGUUGAUUGCAGCUAAUAAUUUAUUGUAAAAUGAAAAUUUUAACUUUUAUUUCAGACUGCACCUAUCACAGGGAAUUAUGAAUUUCAACAGGCACCGACAAGUUAGAAAGCAAACAUCUGAUUGGUGGUUAUAGGCAACAUCUCCGGAUGUUUGUCCCCAAUGUUAAAAAUAUGCCCCUUAAUCUUAUUCUCUUAAAGGCAUAUUCAUAUCUGUUUUCAGUGGGUGAUUUGACAGCUCUUUAUUUAUUUAGGUAGCAGUUUAUGGCACAGAUAUAUCAGAAAGUGAUUUCACCCUUUGAUACAAAUGUCCCUUGCAGUGACAUAAUUAAAACAUUUUCAACAAGCAAAA